ACCCUCGUAGCCCAACGCAUAAGGCAUCGGUCUGCUAAACCGGGGGUUGCCGGUUCAAAUCCCGCCGAGGGUA
rnacentral:tRNA from 1 species